rfam:Trachymyrmex cornetzi contig56247, whole genome shotgun sequence.
GCCUCGGUAGUCUAAUUGGCUCAGGACGCUCACACGGAAUGAGAGAGAUCCGGGUUCAAAUCCCGGCCGAGGUA